rnacentral:rRNA from 1 species
UGGGGAAUAUUGCACAAUGGGCGAAAGCCUGAUGCAGCGACGCCGCGUGCGGGAUGAAGGCCUUCGGGUUGUAAACCGCUUUUGAUUGGGAGCAAGCGAGAGUGAGUGUACCUUUCGAAUAAGCACCGGCUAACUACGUGCCAGCAGCCGCGGUAAUACGUAGGGUGCAAGCGUUAUCCGGAAUUAUUGGGCGUAAAGAGCUCGUAGGCGGUUUGUCGCGUCUGGUGUGAAAGUCCAUCGCUUAACGGUGGAUCUGCGCCGGGUACGGGCAGGCUGGAGUGCAGUAGGGGAGACUGGAAUUCCCGGUGUAACGGUGGAAUGUGUAGAUAUCGGGAAGAACACCAAUGGCGAAGGCAGGUCUCUGGGCUGUUACUGACGCUGAGGAGCGAAAGCGUGAGGAGCGAACAGGAUUAGAUACCCUGGUAGUCCACGCCGUAAACGGUGGAUGCUGGAUGUGGGGCCCAUUCCACGGGUUCCGUGUCGGAGCUAACGCGUUAAGCAUCCCGCCUGGGGAGUACGGCCGCAAGGCUA